AUGGCCUGGACCCCUCUCCUCCUCACUUUUCUUGCUCACUGCAAAGGAUCCUGGACUCAGUCUAUGCUGAGUCAGAUACCCUCUGUCUCUGGGAACCCAGGCCAGCGGGUUAGUCUCUCCUGUACUGGAAGCAGCACCAACAUUGGUCGCUACAAUGUGCAGUAGUACCAACAGUUCCCAGACACUGCUCCCAAACUCCUCAUCUAUGGUAAUAGCAACCGACCUUCAGGGAUUCUGGAUCGAUUUUUAGGUUCCAAGUCUGGCAGCUCUGGCUCCCUGACCAUCAUUGGACUGCAGCGUGAGGAUGAGGCCGUUUAUUACUGUCAGUCGUUUGAUAUCAGCCUGGGUGCUCACACAGUGCUCCAGGCCAACACAGGGAAGUGA